UUGUUUUCAUAGUUAUCAGAU
ensembl:piRNA 21ur-7886 ncRNA